rnacentral:rRNA from 1 species
UACGUAGGGUGCAAGCGUUGUCCGGAAUUAUUGGGCGUAAAGAGCUCGUAGGCGGUUUGUCGCGUCUGCUGUGAAAACUCAGGGCUUAACCCUGAGCCUGCAGUGGGUACGGGCAGACUAGAGUGUGGUAGGGGAGAUCGGAAUUCCUGGUGUAGCGGUGGAAUGCGCAGGAUAUCAGGAGGAACACCGGUGGCGAAGGCGGAU